rnacentral:lncRNA from 1 species
AAUCCAGGAAGUACAACGAGUACCAUAUAAAAUAGACUCAAGGAGGAACACCCCAAGACACAUAUUAAUUAAACUGACCAAAAUUAAAGACAAAAAGAAAAUCUUGAAAGCAGCUAGGGAAAAGAAACAAAUAACAUACAAGGAAACCCUGAUAAGGUUAUCAACAGAUUUUUCAGCAGAAACUGCAGGCCAGAAGGGAGUGGAAUGAUAUACUUAACGUGAUGAAAGGAAAAAACCUCCAACCAAGAUAACUUUACCCAGCAAGGCUCUCAUUCAGAUUUGAAGGAGAAAUCAAAAGCUUCACAGAUAAGCAAAAGCUAAGAGAAUUUAACAACACUAAACCAGCCUUACGACAAAUACUAAAGGAACUUCUCUAGGCAGAAAAGAAAAGGCUGCAACCAGAAACAAAAAUACCACAAAUGAUGAGGCUCACCAGUAAAGGUAUAUAUACAGUAAAAAUAGGAAAUCAUCCAUGCACAAUUAUGCUGCCAAAAUUGGAAAUCAUGAAAAGAAGAGGAUACAAAUACAGGACACUGGAGAUAAACUUGCAAUUAAGAGGCCAACAACUUAAAACAAUCUUGUAUGUAUGUGGAAUCAUUUAUCAAAACUUCAAAAUAACUGCAAACCAAAAAUAUAAAAUUGAUACAAAAACAAAUAGGAAAAAUCAACUCAAAUACAACACUAAAUAUAGUCAUCAAACCAUAAGAGGAGAGAACAAAAGAAGAAGGAAUGAAAAAAGAGCAACAAAAACAAAUCCAAAGCAAUUAAUAAAAUGGCAAUAAGAACAUGUGUAUUAAUAAUUACCUUAAAUGCUAAUGGACUAAUCACCCCAACCAAAAGACAAAGCCUGGCUGAAUGGAUACAAAAAAAGGACCCAUAUAUAUGCUGCCUUCAAGAGACCCAUUCACUUCUUCUUUUUUUUUUUUUUCUUUUUUGAUUUUUAAAAUUUAUUUAUUUAUUUAUUUUUAUUUAAUUUUAUUUUAUUUCCCCACUGUACAGCAAGGGGAUCAAGUUAUCCUUACAUGUGUACAUUACAAUUACAUUUUUUCCCCACCCUUUCUUCUGUUGCAAUAUGAAUAUCUAGACAAAGUUCUCAAUGCUAUUCAGCAGGAUCUCCUUGUAAAUCUAUUCUAAAUUGUGUCUGAUAAGCCCAAGCUCCCGAUCCCUCCCACUCCCUCCCCCUCCCAUCAGGCAGCCACAAGUCUUCUCCAAGUCCAUGAUUUUCUUUUCUGAGGAGAUGUUCAUUUGUGCUGGAUAUUAGAUUCCAGUUAUAAGUGAUAUCAUAUGGUAUUUGUCUUUGUCUUUCUGGCUCAUUUCACUCAGGAUGAGAUUCUCUAGUUCCAUCCAUGUUGCUGCAAAUGACAUUAUGUCAUUCUUCUUUAUGGCUGAGUAGCAUUCCAUUGUGUAUAUAUACCAUGUCUUCUGAAUCCAAUCAUCUGUUGAUGGACAUUUGGGUUGUUUCCAUGUCCUGGCUAUUGUGAAUAGUGCUGCAAUGAACAUGCGGGUGCAUGUGUCUCUUUUAAGUAGAGUUUUGUCUGGAUAGAUGCCCAAGAGUGGGAUUGUGGGGUCAUAUGGAAGUUCUAUGUAUAGAUUUCUAAGAUAUCUCCAAACUGUUCUCCAUAGUGGCUGUACCAUUUCACUUCUAGGAACACAUACAAAUUCAAAGUGAGAGGAUGAAAAAAAAUAUUCCAUGCAAACGGGAAUCAAAAGAAAGCUGGAGAAGCAAUACUCUUAUCAGACAAAAUAGACUUUAAAAUGAAGAAUACUUUAAGGGACAAGGAAGGUCACUAUGUAAUGACCAAAGGAUCAAUCCAAGAAGAUACAACAAUUUUAAAUAUAUACACACCCAACAUAGGUUCACCACAAUAUAUAAGGCAACUGCUAACAACCUUAAAAGGACAAACCGACAAUAACACAAUAAUAGUGGGGGACUUUAACACCCCACUUACAGCAAUGGACAGAUCAUCCAGAAAAUAAACAAGGAAACACAGGCCCUAAAUGAAGCAUUAGACCAGAAGGAAUUAAUAGAGAUUUAUAGGACAUUCCAUCCAAAAACAACAGAAUAUACAUUCCUCUCAAGUGCAUAUGAAACAUUCUCUAAGACUGAAUACAUUCUGGGCUACAAAUCAAGCCUUGAUAACUUUAAGAAAACUGAAAUCAUAUCAAGCAUCUUGUCUAACCACAACGCUAUAUGACUGGAAAGCAACAAUAAGAAAAAAAAUUCAAAAAACUAAACACGUAGAGACUAAACAACAUGCUACAAACAACCAAUAGAUUACUGAAGAAAUCAAAGAGGAAAUUAGAAAAUACCUAGAAGCAAAUGACAAUGAAGAUAUGACACUCCAAAACCUAUGGGAUGCAGCAAAUGUGUUUUAUGAGGAAAGUUUAUAGCAAUAUACAAGCCCACCUCAGGAAUCAAGAAAAAGCUCAAAUAAACAAGUUAACUUUACAUCUAAAGCAGCUAGAGAGAAAAGAACAGACAAGAUCUAAAGUUAGUAGAGGGAAAGAAAUCAUAAAGAUCAAAGCAAAAAUCAAAGAAAUAGAAACAAAGAAAACCAUAGAAAAGAUCAAUGAAAUGAAAAGCUGGCUCUCUGAAAAGAUCAACAAAAUUGAUAAACCCUUAGGAGACUUACCAAGAAAAAGGAGAGAGGAUUCAAAUCAAUAAAAUUAGAAAUGAUAAAGAAGAAGUAACAAAGGACAUCACAGAAAAACAAAGGAUCAUAAGAGACUACUACAUGCAACUAUAAGCCAAUAAAACAGAAAACCUAGAAGAAAUGGACAAAUUCUUAGAAAAGUACAAUCUUCCAAGACUAAACCAAGAUGAAAUAGAAAAGAUGAACAAACCAAUCACAAGUACUGAAUUUGAAACUGUGAUUAAAAAACUUCCAACAAACAAAAGUCCAGGACCAGAUGGCUUCACAGACAAAUUCUAUCAAACAUUUAGAGAAGAGCUAACACCCAUCCUUAUGAAACUAUUUCAGAAAAUUGCAGACGGAGGGACACUCUCACUCAUUCUGUGAGGCUACCAUCACCCUGAUACCAAAACCAGACAAAGACACCACAAAAAAAGAAAACUAUAGGCCAAUUUCACUGAUGAACAUCGAUGCAAAAAUCCUCAACAAAAUACUAGCAAACCACAUCCAACAAUACCUUAAAAGCAUUGUACAUCAUGAUCAACUGGGAUUUAUCCAAGGGAUGCAAGGGUUCUUCAAUAUGCGCAAAUCCAUCACAUUUACAAACUGAAGAAUAAAAACCAUGUGAUCCUCUGAAUAGAUGUGGUAAAAGCCUUUAACAAAAUCCAACACCCAUUUCUGAUAAAAACCCUUCAGAAAGUGGGCAUAGAGGGAACCUACCUCAACAUAAUAAAGGCCAUAUAUGACAAACCCACAGCUAACAUCAUUUCCAAUAGUAAAAAGCUGAAAGACUUGCUGCUGAGAUCAGGAACCAGGCAAGGAUGUCCGCUCCUGCCACUACUCUUCAACAUAGUUCUGGAAGUCCUAGCCAUAGCAAUCAGAGAAGUAAAAGAAAUAAAAGGAAUCCAAAUUGUAAAGGAAGAAGUGAAACUAUCACUAUUUGCAGAUGACAUGAUACUAUACCUAGAGAAUCCUAAAGACUCUACCAGAAAACUGUUAGAGCUCAUCCAGGAAUUUGGCUAGUCGUAGGAUACAAAAUUAAUACAUAGAAAUCAACUACAUUUCUAUAUAGUAACAAAGAAAGAUCAGAAAGAGAAAUUAGUGAAGCAAUCCCGUUUACCAUCACAUCCAAAAGAAUAAAAUACCUAGGAGUAAAUCUACCUAAAGGGACAAAAGGCCUGUACUCUGACAACCAUGAGACACUGAUAAAAGAAAUCAAAGAUGACACAAACAGAUGGAAACACAUACCAUGAUCUAGGAUUGGAAGAGUCAAUAUUAUCAAAAUGAGUAUACUACCCAAGGCAAUCUACAGAUUCAAUAAAAUCCCUAUCAAAUUACCAAGGGCAUUUUUCACAGAACUUGAACAAAAUAUUUUAAAGUUUGUUUGGAAGCACAAAAGACCCAGCAUAGCCAAAGACAUCCUGGAAUAGAAAAAUGGAGCUGGAGGAAUCAGGCUUCCUGAGUUCAGGCUAUACUACAAAGCAACAGUAAUCAAAACUGUAUGGUACUGACACAAAGACAGAAAUAUAUAUCAGUGGAACAGGAUAGAAAGCCCAGAAUUAAACCCACACACCUACAGAAAACUCCUCUAUUGACAAAGGAGGCAAGAGUGUGCAAUGGAGAAAAGAUAGUCCCUUCUAUAAGUGGUGCUGGAAAAACUGGACAGCCACAUGGAAAAGAAUGAAAUUAGAACACUUCCUAACACCAUACACAAAUAUAAUCUCAAAAUGGAUUAAAGACCUAGAUAUAAGGCCAGAUACUAUAAAACUCUUAGAGGAAAACAUAGGCCAAACACUCUCCGGCAUAAACCACAGCAACAUCUUCUCAGAUCCACCUCUUAGAGUAAUGACAGUACAAACAAAAAUAGACAACCAGGACUUAAUUAAACUUAAAAGUUUCUUCACAAGAAAGGAAACCCUAAACAAAAUGAAAAGACAGGAGUUCCCAUCUUGGCUCAGUAGUUAACAAAUCCGACUAGGAACCAUGAUGUUGUGGGUUCAAUCCCUGGCCUUGCUCAGUGGGUUAACGAUCCAGCGUUGCUGUGAGCUGUGGUAUAGGUUGCAGACACGGCUUGGAUCCCAAGUUGCCAUGGCUCUGGCGUAAGCUGGCGGCUACAGCUCUAAUUAGACCCCUAGCCUGGGAACCUCCACAUGCCACGGAAGUGGCCCAAGAAAUGGCAAAAAAGACAACCCACAGAAUGGGAGAAAAUCUUUGCAAAUGAAUCAACUGACAAGGGAUUAAUCUCCAAAAUUUAUAGACACCUCCUACCACU